rnacentral:rRNA from 1 species
AGAGUUUGAUCCUGGCUCAGGAUUAACGCUGGCGGUAUGCCUAACACAUGCAAGUCGAACGGAAUACCUAAUUAAGAGAAUCUCACACUAGUGAGAGGUUCUCACGAGUAGUAUUUAGUGGCGGACGGGUGAGUAACACGUUGGAACCUCGCCCCGAAGUGGGGAAUAACCGCUCGAAAGAGUAGCUAAUACCCCAUAGUAUCCGGUUUAUCCGGAUUAAAGAUUUAUCGCUUCGGGAGGGGCCUGCGUCUGAUUAGCUAGUUGGUGAAGGUAAAAGCUCACCAAGGCGACGAUCAGUAGCUGGUUCGGAGGAUGACCAGCCACACUGGGACUGAGAUACGGCCCAGACUCCUACGGGAGGCAGCAGUGAGGAAUCUUCCACAAUGGACGAAAGUCUGAUGGAGCAAUACCGCGUGCAGGAAGACGCUUUUCGGAGUGUAAACUGCUUUUGUCGUCGAAGAUUAUGACUGUAGACGAAGAAUAAGGACCGGCUAACUACGUG